rnacentral:lncRNA from 1 species
AUUUUUACCCUCAUCUUUAAUGAAGGGUAAAAGACAUUUAUAACUUUUUGAUUAACUUUGACAAAAAAAAAAUAUGGUUAACUAAUCUAAACUUAAAACAUCAACUCUAAACCCUAAAUCAUCAACUCUAAACCCUAAACCAUGAAACAUCAACUCUAAACCCUAAACCCCGAAACAUCAACUCUAAAUCCUAAACCCUAAACAUUCAAAUCUAAAC